UGUACUGACUUCUUUGGGAACGUUGUUGAGCACUAGUGAGCUGGAUUACUCUAUUGGAGUAUUUUUGGUAUUUGUAACUGUUGUAGUAGUUAAUAUUAAAGGAGAAAUCUGAACUUUGAGCUUUGCCCUUUCUCCACUGGAUCCACAUUUGUUCUGCCUGAUUAGUUUUUCUACCUACACCACGCUCUCUGCUUGCAUUACUUCUGCAUUUAUUUUUCUGUACAUUUCUUGCACGUUUUAAGAAAUAAUUAACACUGUAAAACAAAGUGAGAGAACAGGAUUGUGGCUGAGCCAGACUUGGUAAGACGAUGGAUGUGGGAGGUUCAUCUCUGCGUGUGUUUGCACUGCGUUUAGGACCAGGACAGGAGCUGCUUUCUUCUCUGCAGGAGUUUACAGCUUAAAGCUCCUUUUAUCAUCACCUGUGUGGGCAGCGUGACAAAGGCGACACUACGACUGGCCAACGCAACAGCGGACAACAGCAAUCAGGUGAUUCAGCUGCAGGAACGUUUUGAGAUCGUAUCUCUGGUCGGAACUCUGAACCCUGAAGCUCACCUGCACAUCUGCCUGGCUGAUAAACAGGGUGUGACUGUGGGGGGACACGUGCUGGGUGAUCUGGAGGUGUUCACCACAGCUGAGGUGAUCAUCGGGGAGGCUACAGAGCUGCACUUCAGCAGAGAGAUGGACCACAGCACUGGCUUCCCUGAACUGGUUGUUCAGCCCAGAGCAAACAUUCCCAGUAUCACACCACCAUGAACACUAACUGUUCCCAGUAUCACACCACCAUGAACACUAACUGUUCCCAGUAUCACAGCACCAUGAACAUUAACUUUAACAUUUGGUCAACAGAUUAGAAACUGAGAGAAUAAAAUGAUUGUUAGAAGUUUAAUCAUCAGGUAAGGAGAUGGUGGUCAGGUGGUGCGCUGUCGUGAGGAGAAAUAAAGGAGUCAAUCAAUAUUC